rfam:Ovis aries breed Texel chromosome 17, whole genome shotgun sequence.
UCCCUGUUGUCUCAGACGGUAAAGAAUCUGCCUGCAAUGCAGGAAACCUGGGUUUGAUCCCUGGGUUGGGAA